GAUGCAACGCGAAGAACCUUNCCUGGGCUUGAAAGACUGGNUUAUCCNCCGAUGAAAGUNGGUGGAGCCGCAAGGCAAUCCAGACAGGUGCUGCAUGGCUGUUGUCAGCUCGUGUCGUGAGAUGUUGGGUUAAGUCCCGCAACGAGCGCAACCCCUAUCCCUAGUUGCCAUCAGGUAAUGCUGGGCACUNUAGGGAGACUGCCUACGCAAGUAGUGAGGAAGGUGGGGAUGACGUCAAGUCCUCAUGGCCCUUACGCCCAGGGCUACACACGUGCUACAAUGGGUGCUACAAAGGGCUGCGAAACCGCGAGGUGGAGCCAAUCCCAAAAAAGCACCCUCAGUUCGGAUUGGAGUCUGCAACUCGACUCCAUGAAGCUGGAAUUGCUAGUAAUCGCGCAUCAGCACGGCGCGGUGAAUACGUUCCCGGGCCUUGUACACACCGCCCGUCAAGCCAUGGAAGCCGGGGGUACCCGAAGUCGCUAGCCCAACUCCGAGCAAUCGGAGAGGGAGGCGCCUAAGGUAAAACCGGUGACU
rnacentral:rRNA from 1 species